rnacentral:rRNA from 1 species
UUUUUAAUUAGAGUUUGAUCCUAGCUCAGGGUGAACGCUGGCGGCAUGGAUAAGGCAUGCAAGUCGAAUGAGUUUAUACUCAUGGCAAACGGGGUAGUAACACGUAGGAACGUACCUAGAAGUCAAGAAUAAUCUGGAGAAAUCCAGGAUAAUACUUGAUAGUCCCGCAAGGGUAAAGAUUUAUCGCUUCUAGAGCGGCCUGCGUAGUAUCAGCUUGUUGGUAAGGUAAUGGCUUACCAAGGCUAAGACGCUUAGGGGAGGUGAGAGCCUGACCCCCACCAUUGGAACUUAGACACGGUCCAAACUCCUACGGGAGGCUGCAGUCGAGAAUCUUCCGCAAUGGACGAAAGUCUGACGGAGCGAUGCCGCGUGAUGGAUGAAGCACUUCGGUGCGUAAACAUCUUUUAUGAGGGAAGAAAUUAUUGACAUUACCUCAUGAAUAAGAGGCUCCUAAUCAUGUGCCAGCAGGAGCGGUAAUACAUGAGCCUCGAGCGUUACCCGGAUUCACUGGGCGUAAAGGGUGUGUAGGUGGCAUAGUUAGUCGUGCGUUAAAGCCCGGGGCUCAACCCCGGAAUCGCGUGCGAAACGGCUAAGCUAGAGUGUGCGAGAGGUCUGUAGAACUCAUGGUGUAGGGGUGAAAUCCGUUGAUAUCAUGGGGAAUACCGAAAGCGAAGGCAGCAGACUGGCGCAUUACUGACACUGAGACACGAAAGCGUGGGUAGCGAAUGGGAUUAGAUACCCCAGUAGUCCACGCCCUAAACGUUCCUCGCUGGUUUUUGGAAGUAUCGACCCUUUCAGAGACGAAGCUAACGCGUUAAGCGAGGCGCCUGGGUAGUACGAACGCAAGUUUAAAACUCAAAGGAAUAGACGGGGGCUCGCACAAGCGGUGGAGCGUGUGGCUUAAUUCGUCAUUAAGCGAAGAACCUUACCGGGGUUUGAAACCAAACUGCACAUCUAGGGAAACCUAGACUCCUUCGAGGGUGUUUGGCAGGUGAUGCAUGGCUGUCGUCAGUUCGUGUUUUGAAAUGUUCCCUUAAGUGGGGUAACGAACGCAACCCUCGUUGUCUGUUACAAGUGUCAGGCGAGACAGCUCCCUUACGGGAGAGGAAGGUGAGGAUGACGCCAAGUCAGCAUGUCCCUUUGACAUCCCGGGCUGCACACGCGCUACAAUGAUAACUACAACGGGGCGCGAUCUCGCAAGAGUCAGCAAAUCCUAUAAAAGUUAUCUCAGUUCGGAUUGAGGUCUGCAACUCGACCUCAUGAAGUUGGAAUCGCUAGUAAUCGUGGAUCAGCUACGCCGCGGUGAAUACGUUCUCGAGCCUUGUACUCAC